rnacentral:rRNA from 1 species
AACGUAGGAGGCGAGCGUUAUCCGGAUUCACUGGGCGUAAAGCGCGCGUAGGCGGUUAGGCAAGUCGGAUGUUAAAGCCCCUGGCUCAACUGGGGGAGGUCAUUCGAUACUGCUUGGCUUGAGGGUGAGAGAGGAAAGUGGAAUUCCCGGUGUAGCGGUGGAAUGCGUAGAGAUCGGGAGGAACACCAGUGGCGAAGGCGGCUUUCUGGCUCACUUCUGACGCUGAGAGCGCGAAAGCGUGGGGAGCAAA